CGGGAAGCCACAAGCGACAUCGCUUUUAGUCAGUCAGAAAUGUUCGUGAUAGGAUGAGGUUUGAUUUUCUGUAGGAUGUAUGGAUAGGCUGACUAUUGGGUUAUGACAGUGAGUUCAAAACAAUAUUCAGCGUUUUGAAACGAUUUAUAAUUGCACCGAAAGAAAUUCGUCAAGAGCCAGAUUUUCAUCACUGAGUGAGAUGGAGGCCUAUCAAGUCUGAAGAGCAACUUUCUGAAACACUUCUUGAAAGCGAGAAAGACAAUUUAUCAUUAUAUCUGAAGACAUGCGGAAUUAUUUGUCCGAUUAUGCAUCACUGAGAGAGGUGGCUGCCUCGAGUCUAUAAAGCAAGCAUGAACUUCACAAGGAACUAAGCACGGAAUAUGACAUACUGAUGAAGACCCGCUCAGAGUUGCAUUGUCAAGUUACACUCUGGAGUACAACACACUGGUGGAGUGCAUUAGACCAGAUUUGUUCGAUUUGGGUUUUCUCCUUGUUGAAAACAAGAUAUUCAUAAUUAGUUAAAUGUGUUUGUAAAUGUAACAUUCGGCAGUCCAACUGUUAAGAUCAUUUCAUCUUAGGGUUAUGCAGGGUGUUUGUAAAAAAAGUAGGUAUACAUUGUGGA